rnacentral:rRNA from 1 species
CCUACGGGGGGCAGCAGUGAGGAAUAUUGGUCAAUGGACGAGAGUCUGAACCAGCCAAGUAGCGUGAAGGAUGACUGUCCUAUGGGUUGUAAACCUCUUUUAUAAGGGAAUAAAGAGAGGCACGCGUGCCUUUUUGCAUGUACUUUAUGAAUACGGAUCGGCUAACUCCGUGCCAGCAGCCGCGGUAAUACGGAGGAUCCGAGCGUUAUCCGGAUUUAUUGGGUUUAAAGGGAGGGGAGGUGGGUUGUUAAGUCAGUUGUGAAAGUUUGCGGCUCAACCGUAAAAUUGCAGUUGAAACUGGCAGUCUUGAGUAAAGGAGAGGUAGGCGGAAUGCGUGGUGUAGCGGUGAAAUGCGUAGAUAUCACGAAGAACCCCGAUUGCGAAGGCAGCGUACUGACCCGUGACUGACACUGAUGCUCGAAAGUGUGGGUAUCAAACAGGAUUAGAUACCCUAGUAGUC